rnacentral:rRNA from 1 species
AAUCAACGCUGGCGGCGUGCCUCAGACAUGCAAGUCGAACGAUUAAGACUCCCUUCGGGGAGUGCAUAAAGUGGCGCACGGGUGAGUAACACGUAAGUAAUCUACCCUCGAGUGGGGAAUAACAACCGGAAACGGUUGCUAAUACCGCAUAAUGCAGCGGCACCGCAAGGUGACAGUUGUUAAAGGAGCAAUCCGCUUGAGGAGGAGCUUGCGGCAGAUUAGCUAGUUGGUAAGGUAACGGCUUACCAAGGCUACGAUCUGUAUCCGGCCUGAGAGGGCGGUCGGACACACUGACACUGAAUAACGGGUCAGACUCCUACGGGAGGCAGCAGUCGGGAAUUUUGGGCAAUGGGCGAAAGCCUGACCCAGCAACGCCGCGUGAAGGAUGAAGUAUUUCGGUAUGUAAACUUCGAAAGAAUAGGAAGAAUAAAUGACGGUACUAUUUAUAAGCUCCGGCUAACUACGUGCCAGCAGCCGCGGUAAAAC